AGAGGGCCCAGCUCAGGGCCGAGGCCCGUCCUGCCCCGCGCGGCGGGAGUGGUUGGAGCCGGAGGGCGGAUCUGUGCCUGGCCGAGGGUGUCCGUCGGCGUCACUCACCGUCCUCGGCCCGCCUCUGCGUCCACUAGGAGCGGCCUGAAAGAGGCCCGCACGCGGGCUCGAGCCGCGUGGAAUGCACCUAGAGCUGCAUUCCAUGUAUUCCUUGGCUUUUCGUCCUUUCCUCCAUCAUCAAGUAACUGGAUCUGUGAGCAUGAUGAACUUUGUUUUCCUGAGCUUGUCCUGUGUCUCCUCUUCUGGCCACACCUGACUGAGCAGAACAUAAAAGCGACAGAACACCAGGAGGGCUGCUGCUUGGGGAAAUUGUGUGAGAAGAGUCCUGGGGGACUAGGGGCAGGGCAAGCACUGCUCUCCCUCUCCUGGAGGCUGGGGAGAGCAUCAAGGAGACUACCAGGUAGGAGGAACCAUGGGCAGGGCCUCCCUCAUCAGGAUGCUUUCCCCACAACAGAGGGAUUUAAGCCCCUGGUGGGUGAGUCCUGGAUUAACCAAGACCUGAGCCUUUUGGGGGGUGCAGAGGACAGAGGACACUGUGAGGUGAGUUUCUCCUGGGUGGAUUCCCCAGGGGCCUCUGAGGCUGGUUUCAGGCCCUGCCCUUUGGCUGCCCCACUGGAAGCUCUGAGCAUCUACCCUUCAGGGACGCUUUCCCUGGUCUGACCUUGGCAAGGGCAAAUAAGAGGUACUCCAUGGAGGGUCACCAAGGUCUGGGGCGUAAACGGUGCCCAUCUGCACAGUAGCAUGAGGGCCACAGAGUGUGGUAAAUGUCAGUGACCAUCACAUGCGGUCCCCAGUGUGGCUGCAGGGGCCACUUAGGAUUCUUCUGUUCGGGGUCCCAGGCCACACUUGGGGAACCCUAUUGGAAGCAACAAGGUCUAGGCCCUGAGGGCCCAGGGCUCUGCCCUCUCCAGGGCUCUAGCUGAGCCACGUGCAAGCAUCCUCCCGGCCCUCCCAGCUGGUGUGAGGAGGAAACCACAGCCAAAGGGCAAGGUGCUCCACACAGAUAUGUCCCUAGUCAGCCUGCCCCAUUCGGCCUCUGGAGUGGGAGCCUUGGGUCUGUCUGGAACCAGUGUGGAUGAAAUGCAGGGAGAAACUGGAAUCAUAGCCAUGGACAGCCACUCACAUAGCUGGGAAGAGGCAUGCUGUGGUAGAUCCCGGUGGACUCUCACCUCUGCGGUGCUGGGGACGUUGUGCCGACACCUCAGGCACCCACUUCCACUCACACCGCGGAGGCUUGGGGAGAUGCGGUUCAGUCUGGAGUCCAGCGGGGGGCGACAAUAAAGGCGACCCCGCUCGUCAGUCAGACCAGGGCAAGCUUGCCAGGGCUUCACACUUCACCAAAGGGAACCCUUUCUGCCGCGACUACCGAGCUGCCAGGGCCGGGACAGGCAGAAGCCUGCCCCGAGGUCUCACCUCUGGAGGGUUACGAGCUGUGCCAGGCCGGCUACGGUAGAGGGUGUGCAAAUACCCCGCGGUCCCAAGGCUCCUGAAGCUGCCUAAGGGAUAUGAGAGACCCUAGGUUCGAAUCCUGCCUCCAUCGUCUUAUGUUCGUGCCUCAGGAGAGUCACUUUGCCCCGUUUCCUCGCAUACCAGAGAGCCCAGUAACACGCUCCGCGGCUCUGCGGAGAAAAAGACCCUAGAGAUCGUGGACACAGCGUCUGGGCCGUAUCAGCGCCCACUCGAGAUUAUUACUGCUUAUGCCUGCAACCGGAUGCUGUGCGCCCGGUUAGAAAAGGUCAAAUAAAACUCGAGUUAGGGGAAGCCUGUGGACGCCA
ensembl:lncRNA ZNF497-AS1 ZNF497 antisense RNA 1